AUUCUCAAACAAAAACGGUAAAACGGAUAACAUCGUUAGAGUCACCGCCAUACACCACCGUGAAUUCUUCAUUCUUCUGUCGGCACUGUCUCACUACGUUACUUCCACGUUUGAUUAAUAAUCUAUAUAUAGAUGGAUGGAUUCAUUUCCCAAUUUGGUUACGACAGGAUUUUGUAAAACGCAACCUCCUUCGUGGUGUCUUUACUCUUUUUACAGUCUUUUAUGUGGAAAAUUAAAAUAAAGGAUUAAUCUAUCUUAUUAUAUCGGUUUAAUUAGUUAAAUGGUCCCUUAAAGACAUUUUAGGUUUCAUAAUGGUCCCUUAAAGAAAAAAAUGUUCGGAUUGGUCUCUUAAAGACAUCUCUGUUAAUC
rnacentral:lncRNA from 1 species